rnacentral:rRNA from 1 species
GGGAACCUUUGGUUGCCCGAGUUGUAGUCUGGACAAGUGUCUUCCGCGCUGGACCGUGUACAAGUCUCUUGGAACAGAGCGUCAUAGAGGGUGAGAAUCCCGUCUUUGACACGGACUACCAGUGCUUUGUGAUGCGCUCUCAAAGAGUCGAGUUGUUUGGGAAUGCAGCUCAAAAUGGGUGGUAAAUUCCAUCUAAAGCUAAAUAUUGGCGAGAGACCGAUAGCGAACAAGUACCGUGAGGGAAAGAUGAAAAGCACUUUGGAAAGAGAGUUAAACAGUACGUGAAAUUGCUGAAAGGGAAACGAUUGAAGUCAGUCGCGUCUUCUAGUACUCAGCCUUCCUUUUGGUUGGUGCAUUUACUAGUCGACGGGCCAGCAUCAGUUUUGGCUGCGGGAUAAAGGUCAGGGGAAUGUGGCACCUUCGGGUGUGUUAUAGCCUUUGAUCAUAUACCGUGGCUGGGACUGAGGAUCUCAGCACGCCUUUAUGGCGGGGGUUCGCCCACCUUCGUGCUUCGGAUGCUGGCGUAAUGGCUUUAAACGACCCGUCUUGAAACACGGACCAAGGAGUCUAACAUGCCUGCGAGUGUUUGGGUGGAAAACCCGAGCGCGUAAUGAAAGUGAAAGUUGGGAUCUCUGUCGUGGAGAGCACCGACGCCCGGACCAGACCUUCUGUGACGGAUCCGCGGUAGAGCAUGUAUGUUGGGACCCGAAAGAUGGUGAACUAUGCCUGAAUAGGGUGAAGCCAGAGGAAACUCUGGUGGAGGCUCGUAGCGAUUCUGACGUGCAAAUCGAUCGUCAAAUUUGGGUAUAGGGGCGAAAGACUAAUCGAACCAUCUAGUAGCUGGUUCCUGCCGA